UGGGGUAUAGCCAAGUGGUAAGGCAACGGGUUUUGAUCCCGUCAUUCGUUGGUUCGAGUCCAGCUACCCCAGCCA
rnacentral:tRNA from 3 species